UACGUAGGGUGCGAGCGUUAAUCGGAAUUACUGGGCGUAAAGCGUGCGCAGGCGGCUUUGCAAGACAGAUGUGAAAUCCCCGGGCUCAACCUGGGCACUGCAUUUGUGACUGCAAGGCUAGAGUACGGCAGAGGGGGAUGGAAUUCCGCGUGUAGCAGUGAAAUGCGUAGAUAUGCGGAGGAACACCAAUGGCGAAGGCAAUCCCCUGGGCCUGUACUGACGCUCAUGCACGAAAGCGUGGGGAGCAAACAGG
rnacentral:rRNA from 1 species